ensembl:lncRNA
CCGCCUGCCGCCUUCUCAGUCAUGUUGCAUUCCCCUUCAUGACAAAGUUCUGUUAAAGCCAUGUUGGUGUGAUUCUGCCAUGAAAAAGAAUGAUGUUCUGAUAUGGCUGCAGCAUGGACGAACCCUGAGAACAUAAUGCUGAGUGAAAGAAGCCGGUCACAGAGGGUCACCUUCCGUAUGAAAUAUGUAUUUCCUUUGUAUGAAAGACCCAGAACAGGUGAAUCUAUAGAGACGAAGAGGAGAUUAGCGAUUGUUUAGGAGUGGGGGAUGGGGGAGGGGGUUAGAAGAUUCGGUGGGAGUGGUGGGCUGUUAAAGGGGACAGGGUUUUCUUUUUGAAGUGAUGAAAAUGUUUUAAAAUUGAUUGUGUUGACUGUCGCACAACUCUGUGAACAUACGCAAAGCCAUUUGGGGGGUGUACUAUUUGAAAUGGUUGAAUUAUGUGGUAAAUGAAUUCUAUCUCAAUAAAGCUGUUGGGGAAAAAAGUCAUGUCUCCCUGCCCAACCCCUUCUCCUGUCAGGAAUCCACAGGCUCCAGCCUCCUGCCUUUGGGAAACCUCUCUCCUCCACCCUCUCUCUGCACACACACGCGUGCACACACACUCUUCCCAUCUCCCCUUCUCGUUACCUUCUUCUGCCUUAAAACAUUUUCCCUCCUGUUGCCAUUCUUGCCAACUCCAGAGAAAUGCCUUCUCCAAAGAGAAGUUCCUUCCACAGCCAAAGUGCCCCAUUGAGGUAUUUUCCUAAAACUCUUUUAACACUUUCCUCUUUAAGUUACUCACUUAACAGCUAUUAAAAUUACAGUUUUAAAGUCCCCAUGGCGAUCGAUCAUGGCAGUCACUAGUAAGUCCUAAUAGUUGUAAAUUCCAAGAGCUUCAUAAUCCCAAGGAAAGAGAGGCCAACUGACCCUCUCCCAAGGCCCAGCGGGCUCUGUUCUGAGACAUGACUGAGUCGCCUCACAGGUAGGGAGAGACGGUGAGGAAGAAUGUGGCCAGGGCCAGGUGCUUCCUAACUGGAAGGCAGGUGUUAGGGUCUGGAACGCGGAGGGGAGGUGAACUAUACAGUCUGUGGGGCCAAAAUCACCCUACUUCCUGAUUUUGUAAAUAAAGUUUUAUUGGAACACGCAGCCAGGACCACUCAUUUACUUAAUGCUUCUGGCUGUUUUCUUGUUACAACAGCAGAGUGGAGUAGCUCUGACAAGGGAUUGUAUGACCUGUAAAGUCUAAAAUAUUUAGUAUCUGGCCCUUUCCAGAAGAAGUUUGCUGACGCCUGAUCUGGAAGGUUCCAGCUUGAACUCUGGCUCAUCACACACUGGGUGUGUGACCUUGGACAAGUCAGUUCCUCUCUCUAAGCUUGCUGCUUCAUCAGGAAGCCAGAGGCAGUAACAGUGCCUCCCGAUAUGUUGCUCGUGCAACAAGACUUCAUACAUGUGAAGAGUUUAGCUCAUAUAAAACACUCAGUGUAUGCUGGCAGUUACGAUAUUAUUUAGAAAUGAGACCAGUAACUUCUACUUCAUAUGCCGAUUAUCUGAAGCGAUAGAGAUCGAGCCUGUGAAAACAGCUCGCCCAAAACACAUUAAUUAUUGUUGUAAAUCUCUUAAAGGAUUUUCAGAUGAUUCUUUGCUUGUUAGUAAAACUAAGUUGUUUUUUUUUUUUUUUUUUAAGGGAGCAAAUUUGGAACUGUAAGAAUGUAGAAAAACUCUAAUUUCUGAGGAAAAGAGGAACUUGAACCCCCCCCCCAAAUCCAAACUCUCAUUUAGCAGUCCAGGAAACUGUACCCCCUGAUCCUUGGCUGGGACUUGAACCUGCCCAGAAUUACAAUAUUCUUUUGGCUGAGAUGGUAUCUUCUCCAAUAACUGGUGCUCAGGGAUCCAGGCCUAUGUUUUCUUUAAACAGUUGUGUUGCCUCUGAAGCCCUGGGGAUUCAGCAAUGAAUGAUUCACCCCCUGCCCUGGGCAGCUGCCCCGCCUUCCUUCUAAUGGGGACACCAGACAAUCAAACAAAAACUAGGGCAAUUUGGCCCCACAGUAAGUCCUGUAUGCACCCCAGGAUUUCAGUCCCACACUAAACACUGUAAUGAUGAACUGGAAAACUGUUCUGGACCAUCCAUCUAUGAGAGAUUGAUGGUAGGAGUUAAGAGGGCCGGCUUUGGAGGAAGUCAGAUCUGGGCAAGACUGGCUUUGUAAUUUGCAAAACGAAAACGUGAACCCCUUGUUCCCAAAAUUAUUCAGAAUUUCAAUGACAAGAGUGGAGCAUUGAACCAGCAGGGCCCACACUGUGAAGCCGACCCCACACCCAGGGUCAGACUGCUUUAAGCUGGACACAGAUGUGUCCACGUGGAUAUGUCCACGUGGACACAUCUCUUCACCUGCCUGAGCUUCCGUGUCCUCAUCUGAACAAAGAGAUGCUAAGGCCUACCUGAGGCUGGUGCGGCUAGAGAGAAGAGGCAGGCAAAGCUCUGAGUGGGGGAGAGUGGGCUCAACAGCAUCAUGGCUGCUCUCAGCCUGCAGUGAUGGCCUCAUGUCAUCUGUGAGGACAGGGAGUGUUUAUGAUGCUUAGUUAGUAGACAGUGGCUGAGACUUAGCAGACGGUCAAUGCCAGGCGACUGUCUUUAGUUCUUUACGGAUAUUCAUUUCAUCCUCCAUGCAGCCCUGCUCUGUAGGUACCAUUAUAGAGACAGAAAUUCAGGCCCAAAGAGAAGAAAUUUGGUUUGGGUUUCACACCCAUCAGUGGAAAAAUCCAGAUUCAAAUCAGGGACACCUGGCCCCCCAGGUCUGUGUUCUCAACUGACCUAUGUGUUCCGGGAGUCGUCACAUCCCUGACACAUACACGUGCACACACACACAUGUACACAUGCCCCUUCCCUGAGAUGCUGACGUGAAGCGGACUGUGUGGAACUGUCCCCACCAUGUGGGAUUCUUUCUCUCUUUACUUGCUCUUUUGAUUUUGCCGUACCACUCAACCGGGAGCCCUAGGAGGGCAGGCGCCGUCUUGCUUCCCACGGCAUCCCUGGCACCGGGGACCAUGCCAAGCACACAGUAGGCCCUCAGGAGGCAUGCACCAGUGGAGGCAGCAGGAAGCAGGCAUCCAACCAGAGCACUCUGAUGCAGAAUCAAUAGCAGCAGUUCCAGGAACCUCAAGACUGUGGGCUAAAGAACAUGUCUGGGUUGGGGGAGAUCUCAUGGCUAGAAGAACCAUCUCACACCCUGCUGGCUUCUCUCACUUGGGGUUCUCCCACUGGGGCAGGGGUGGGUAAGAGGCAUUCACAGGGAAUCCCUGGGGCCCAGCCCCCAGCCCCCAGCCCAGCAGGCAGAAGGGCGAGGGCACAGGUUGUGCUCUGGCAGCUGGGCCCCAGCUGUCCGCCAGCCUCUCAGUGCCCGCCCCAGCUGGCCAGCCGGGCCCCGAUGCCACCCCCCACCCCAUGACACAGCAGAAAGUGAAACCAGACCCGCCCCUGCUGGCUGGGACCCAGUGCCCGCUGUUUCCCCAUCCCAGGGGGUGGGCGGGGAGAGGAUGGCCGGGCCAGGCAGCAGCCUGUCCAAGGAGUGCCCCUCCAGGCCAAGGGUGCCGCUGUGCCCCUGCCCAUCCCAGGGUCACUGGUGCCCACCACCUUCUGAGCUGUGCCCUGUUUGUGAGCCACCAGAGCUCCCCAACUGAGUUCUGGAUCUUCACACUGCUCUAGGCGGGGUGGCUAACUAUUCUCCCCAUUUCACAGAGAAAACUGAGGCUCAGAGAGGUGCCCUCGCCAGGAAAGAGGGCACUGGGGUAGCAAGAUCCUAAAAUAAGAGACCAAUCAGAGCUAUGGGUGGGUGUAGGGGCAGAGAUCCGAAGCGUCUCACUGGUGUUGGCACGCAGGGCAGGAGUUGGCGGGGGGAGACUCGUGGCACCCAGGUUGUCACAGGUGGAGCCCACCACAGGGUGGAAGUGGCAUACCAACUCCACAGGUGCGGAAAAUCCCUAAGACAAAUUCUGAAGAAGUGGACUAUGGGGACAUCCUAGGUGGCCCAGUGGUUACGACUCCGAGCGCUCACUGCCGAGAGCCCGGGUUCAAUUCCUAAUCUGGGAGCUAAGAUCCCACAAGCCAGGAACAAAAGAAAAAGCAUAUGAAACUUUACAAAGGAUCAUCUCGAGUCCUGCCCCAUUCUGCCACCUGUACUUGCCUUUGCUUGAAUGUUUCCUUGCAAGCAACUCAUCCUCUUUAUCUUACAUGCUUACUGUGCUUGGUCGCUCAGUCAUGUCCAACUCUUUGUGACCCCAUGGGUGUAGCCCACCAGGCUCCUCUGUCCAUGGGGAUUCUCCAGGCAAGAAAUUGAUGUAAAAAGAAAAAAGUCCUCCUCCCCGGAACCCUAAACUGAAAGCCAACCGCUUGCCACAGUAAAAAUCAGCUGUACGAAAGAAAUACCUGUUCGAAUAAUUUACAUCUCUAGCCAGGAACCACUUAAAAUCCUGUGCCUAUCAGACUUGAGAAACUUCUAUCCCAGAACGUGGGUUUCCUGUGAGAGGCAAUGGAAGUCCAUAGAGGCUGAGUCACUUGCCUAGGGGGGGAGACACACUGCAAGAGCUGCAGAGCUGGGGCUGCCUGAUUCCAGGAUUGCAGAAACCUGUGCGUAUGUCGGACCGCAGUCCUGCUCCUGUCUGAGUUGUCUCUGCGUGCACGGCGGGUAUUAGUAUCAGCACAGACAGCUUCCAUGUGUAAUGCCUGUCCCCACUUUCCCAGCGCCUUCUGAGCCUAUCACUUGAACUCACGAUAACACGGCAGAUACAAGUGAGAACUCUUUCAGGCUGAAGCACGGGGGUGGUGGUCCCUCCCUUGCCAGGGUAGGAAACCGAGGCAGAGGGUGGGAAAGUGGGCUGAUUCGGGGAAGCCGGUGAGCCAGUCAUGACUGUCCAGGGCUUCUGCCAAGGUGAGGAGCCCAGAGGCCCUGCUGGAAGGCCCAGGCUAAAUGUGAACCAGCCUCGUCAAACAGGUAACACUUGUUUCUUCCCCACCUCCCCCGCCACGAACCCCCACAGCACACGCGGACAGCAGCCGCAGUUGUCCCGUUCCCCAAGCCUCAUCUCCGACAUUCGGACCCUGGAGGGCAAAAAGCGUGUUUAGCAACCAUCUGCGGAUGGCAUCUUUUUUAUUUUCCGUGGUGAUCACCAACCAGUUCUCAAUGCCACGAGGGGAGCACUCCCGGGGACCAGAAAGAGUUUGGGGUGGGGGCGGGGGGGACAUCUUUCUCUCUUCUUUUAGUUGCUGGAGAAACUCAGCUGCCGUGGCUGGCCCAAGGACCCCCGAGGAAUACUGCAAGAGCAAUAAGGAUUUUUAGGGGCAUUAUGAUAGUGGAAUGCAAACACAUCUGCCCCCAAAAGUCCCUCAUUUUCCCUGCGGUAACCAACCAGCUGGGCAGGAAGUGAGGGCUCUUGGAACCCCAAGAGCCAAAACUAAAAAGGAAAAAAUGCAGAUAGUUACAGCAAACUUGAGACAAGCCGACGCUUUCCCUGGUGCACGGCGGUGGCUCCACCCAGGCUCCCUAAAGGCUAAGAAUUGGCUAACUAGGUCUCCACACAGCGGUUUCCAUACAGAUGCACCUCCUCCAUGUCCAGAAAACCAGGAUCUGGGAUUUCAGGGCAGGUGAUAAGGAUCAGUCCCUCAGGUCAAGUGAGUCUAGGGAGCCUGGGGCCAUCUCCCUCAGACCAUGAAUGAUUAUUAUUCCCAACCCUCAUUACUAAUCUGAGUGAAUCUCGGAUCCUUCCAUUUCUCCUUUCUUUGGGAUGUGGAAAGUUAUAAACUCGGAAACACGGAUGAAAAUAUUAGCAAGCAGGGAUUUGCAGAGCUGUAUGAACAAGUGAAGGGUGAGAGCUUGGGUCAGGGAGCCUGGUGGUUAUCACUGAUGGGGCCAGAGUGGAAAAACCAUGGCAAAGGUCCACGGUGCAGACUCAAGAAAUCAAGGGCAGGGGCUCCCUGGGAUGUGUGAUCUCCAAGGGUCUCU